UACAGAGGUGGCAAGCGUUGUUCGGAAUUACUGGGCGUAAGGGGCGCGUAGGCGGUUCGUUAAGUCCUGUGUGAAAUCCCCCGGCUCAACUGGGGAACUGCACAGGAAACUAGCGGGCUUGAGUUCGGGAGAGGGAAGCGGAAUUCCGGGUGUAGCGGUGGAAAUGCGUAGAUAUCCGGAGGAACACCGGUGGCGAAGGCGGCUUCCUGGACCGACACUGACGCUGAGGCGCGAAAGCUAGGGGAGCAAACGGG
rnacentral:rRNA from 1 species